GAUGAACGCUGGCGGCGUGCUUAACACAUGCAAGUCGAACGGAAAGGCCCAAGCUUGCUUGGGUACUCGAGUGGCGAACGGGUGAGUAACACGUGGGUGAUCUGCCCUGCACUUCGGGAUAAGCCUGGGAAACUGGGUCUAAUACCGGAUAGGACCACUUCUUGGAUGUUGUGGUGGAAAGUUUUUUCGGUGUGGGAUGAGCUCGCGGCCUAUCAGCUUGUUGGUGGGGUAAUGGCCUACCAAGGCGUCGACGGGUAGCCGGCCUGAGAGGGUGUACGGCCACAUUGGGACUGAGAUACGGCCCAGACGCCUACGGGAGGCAGCAGGGGGGAAUCUUGCACAAGGGGCGCCAGCCUGAUGCAGCGACGCCGCGUGGGGGAUGACGGCCUUCGGGUUGGAAACUCCUUUCGCUAGGGACGAAGCGUUUUGUGACGGUACCUGGAGAAGAAGCACCGGCUAACUACGUG
rnacentral:rRNA from 1 species